rnacentral:rRNA from 1 species
GGCUUAACACAUGCAAGUCGAACGCCCCGCAAGGGGAGUGGCAGACGGGUGAGUAACGCGUGGGAAUCUACCCAGAUCUACGGAACAACUGAGGGAAACUUCAGCUAAUACCGUAUACGCCCUACGGGGGAAAGAUUUAUCGGAUUUGGAUGAGCCCGCGUUGGAUUAGCUAGUUGGUGAGGUAACGGCUCACCAAGGCGACGAUCCAUAGCUGGUCUGAGAGGAUGAUCAGCCACACUGGGACUGAGACACGGCCCAGACUCCUACGGGAGGCAGCAGUGGGGAAUAUUGGACAAUGGGCGCAAGCCUGAUCCAGCCAUGCCGCGUGAGUGAUGAAGGCCUUAGGGUUGUAAAGCUCUUUCAGUGGGGACGAUAAUGACGGUACCCACAGAAGAAGCCCCGGCUAACUUCGUGCCAGCAGCCGCGGUAAUACGAAGGGGGCUAGCGUUGUUCGGAUUUACUGGGCGUAAAGCGCACGUAGGCGGAUCGUUAAGUCGGGGGUGAAAUCCUGGAGCUCAACUCCAGAACUGCCUUCGAUACUGGCGAUCUUGAGUCCGGAAGAGGUGAGUGGAACUCCUAGUGUAGAGGUGGAAUUCGUAGAUAUUAGGAAGAACACCAGUGGCGAAGGCGG